rnacentral:lncRNA from 1 species
GGAGGUUAUUUUUUGAGAACAGAGAUUAAAUAAAAUAAAGAUUAAACUUGUAUAAAGUCUUUCAGUGGCUCCAGAAGAAUCCGAGUGCUGUUUCAGAUUGAAAAUGGGGAAAUGUGUUUGGCUUCAGUCAUCAAAAUUUGUCCAUAAAUAACUGAUGUUGUCUUUUACAGCUUUGCUUUGAGGACGGGGAGAAGGAGACACUUUACCAAGUCGACCCAGAGAUGUCACUUUUGAAAUUACUGCAACAUAAAAGGUAUUUUGUGACGGCUGGCACGCCCAGCUUCAUCCUUUUAGUAAAGGGCUCUUCAUAUUGGAAGCAGUUUUUAUCAGGAAGGAAAGCAAUGAUUCUGAUUACUGAUGACUUGUGUGACUUUUUGAAUUCAACUCUAGUUUCAACAGGGAGCCAAUGAAGUAAAGUCAGUGUGGGAGAAAUAUGAUCUCUCUGGUCCAUGUCAGUACUCUCACUGGAGCAUUUUGCUAAUGUCUGCAGCUGAAUAUUUGUUUACUCUGUAUCAGGACUACAUUUUUUGCAACGCUCCUUCCAAAGUCAGUAACGUUUUGAUAAAAGAAUAAAACAGUUUAGUCUUAAAAUGUUUCAUAUUUUGACAUUUGUGAAAAAGCUUGUGAUUGUUUUAGUGUCUUGCACAGGUGAGUCUGUGUUACAAAGAACGUCUUGACUGUUUCGAGAACGCCACUACGGCCGGUGAGAAUGACGUUACUGAUAUUUGCAUAUUUGAAUGAUCGAGAAAAAAAAAAUCACACCUGCUGUAAGUUUAAAUGAUAGUUGAUGGAUUCAAAGGAAAUUCAACCAGACUGUCUUGUUUCUCUGAUUACUGUUCAGAAUACAGUUAUUAAUAUUAGAAGUGGGUUUUAAGAUUUAACUAAUCUCAUUUAAAGGAGUUUAGGUUUGGUUCCCAGCUGUAUUACGGCUCAGAUUGGCCAUCUUUGAUACCAGGCAUUUGGCCGGUGGACCGAUGCCCUUUAGGCCUAUGGGUCAGUUGGAAGGACUACUGCGCACCGGCCCUACAUGUACUGACAGCAGGACAUUUGUUCAUUUUCAUUACUAACACCAUAUUGCCCAAUCAAAACUCUUAGGACAACCGGCCCUUCCACUAGUUUCACCCACACACCUUGUAGAACUGAGUUUAGUGUGGAAGAAGUGGAGAAGGAAGAGAUUAAAGGAUUCAGGUAACUGCCAACAAUAUUUCACAUUGUUGGCAGUGUG